rnacentral:rRNA from 1 species
GAGUUUGAUCGUGGCUCAGAGUGAACGCUGGCGGUAGGCCUAACACAUGCAAGUCGAACGGUAACAGGUCUUUCGGGAUGCUGACGAGUGGCGGACGGGUGAGGAAUACAUCGGAAUCUGCUCAGUCGUGGGGGAUAACGCAUGGAAACGUGCGCUAAUACCGCAUACGACCUUCGGGUGAAAGCAGGGGAAUCUUUAGGGAUCCUUGUGCGAUUGAAUGAGCCGAUGUCGGAUUAGCUAGUUGGUAGGGUAAAAGCCUACCAAGGCGACGAUCCGUAGCUGGUCUGAGAGGAUGAUCAGCCACACUGGGACUGAGACACGGCCCAGACUCCUGCGGGAGGCAGCAGUGGGGAAUAUUGGACAAUGGGGGCAACCCUGAUCCAGCCAUACCGCGUGGGUGAAGAAGGCCUUCUGGGUUGUAAAGCCCUUUUGUUGGGGAAGAAAAACAACGGGUUAAUACCCCGUUGGUAUGACGGUACCCAAAGAAUAAGCACCGGCUAACUUCGUGCCAGCAGCCGCGGUAAUACGAAGGGUGCAAGCGUUACUCGGAAUUACUGGGCGUAAAGGGUGCGUAGGUGGUUGCGCCAGUCUGUCGUGAAAGCCCUGGGCUUAACCUGGGAAUGGCGAUGGAAACUGUGCAACUAGAGUGUGACAGAGGGUGGUGGAAUUCCUGGUGUAGCAGUGAAAUGCGUAGAGAUCAGGAGGAACAUUCGUGGCGAAGGCGGCCACCUGGGUCAACACUGACACUGAGGCACGAAAGCGUGGGGAGCAAUCAGGAUUAGAUACCCUGGUAGUCCACGCCCUAAACGAUGCGAACUGGAUGUUGGGUCCAACUUGGGAUUCAGUAUCGAAGCUAACGCGUUAAGUUCGCCGCCUGGGGAGUACGGUCCCAAGACUGAAACUCAAAGGAAUUGACGGGGGCCCGCACAAGCGGUGGAGUAUGUGGUUUAAUUCGAUACAACGCGCAGAACUCUUACCUGGCCUUGACAUGCACGGAACCUUUG